rnacentral:lncRNA from 1 species
ACGGGGAGAGGCUGACUGGUGUGCACGAGCUGACACCCGGUGCCUUGCUCUUUGCCCUCCUGAGGAACUCUCUCUGCCACCGGUGACCGGAGAAGACGUGCACGGAGAACAUCUCAAUAUUCUUUACUCGUGUUUGAGGUUAUCCGCCACCAUGAAAGUUCAGCUGCUGAUCCUGUUGGCCCUGGCCGGUCCCUUCUGCGGCAUCACACGUGCCAGUCCCACCGGUCUCCCCGAAGAAAUGGGGGGCGUAACCGAGGUAACGCCUGAAAUCCCAGAGGAAGUGCACGAGGUGUUCACCGGGGCCCCCGCGACCGUACCAGCAGCUCUCCCCGCCGAAGUCACCACAGAAGCCAUCUCAGAGGUCGCCACGGAGACCGCCACGGAGACCACCCCAGAAAAAUCCACAGAGGCCACCGUAGAAGCCGACACACAGGCCGCCCUAGAGGUCGCCACCGGGGCGGCCACCGUAUCCGAAACAGAGGCUGCGACGGCGCAGGCGACCGUGGAAGACGCUUUCACCACCCAGGCCGCCCUCGUGGAGUCCACGACUGCGGAGACUCACUCGCCAGCGGAGGUGACGGAAGCGGCGGCUGAGACUACGGCAGAGGUCGACGCGGGGAAGACAGCGGCACCCACGGACAACCUUGUGGAUACUAGCACAAAGGUUGAUGGGCAAAUGGAGGAAGGGAUGAGUUCGGGCCAGAUGGCCGGAGUGGUCAUCGGCGCCUUGAUCGCGAUCGUCAUCGUCAUCGCUGUGGUCUUCGCCCUCGUGAGGAGGAUGGGCAAAUACUCGGCCGCCAAGAAAGCCAAGAUCGUGAAAAGAAAGCGGGCAUCUUGGUUUCUUCCAUGAAGGAAAGAAGGAAAAACAAAGAGGCAGGAGCGCCCAGAGUUCUGGAAAUUGUGAACUACUGAAAUGUGAUGUCAUUUCCUGUCAUUAAACAACCAUGCUAUCAGCACUAGUCAAGCACUAGUGUAUGUGUGUGUGUGUGUGUGUGUGUGUGUGUGUGUGUGUGUGUGUGUGUGUGUGUGUGUGUGUGUGUGUGUGUGUGUGUGUGUGUGUGUGUGUGUGUGUGUGUGUGUGUGUGUGUGAGAGAGUGUGAGAGUGUGCGUGUGUGCGUCUGUGUUAUUCAGAGUUUGUGUGUGUGUGUGUGUGUGUGUGUGAGUACGCCUGUGUGUGCGCCUGUGUCUUUGUGUGUGUGUGUUUGUGUGUCUGUGUGUGUGUAUGUUUAUAUGUUUGUGUCGGUGGGCUGGUGGAGAAGAAAAAGGACAAGCAAUCAUCCGCAGCUCCUCCCGCAGCUCCACCAACCACCACCACCCCACCCCUCAUCUCCAUCCACCCACACCGACUACACCCCCCCCCCCCACCCUGCCCCCACAACCCAACAUGGUGGGGCGAAUUCUCUAGAAGACCUUCAAGGCCCAUUUGUUUGCGUCUAUAAAAGAGACGUGCUACUAAGUUAUUUGGCCGAUGGUGCUGUGAGCCUGCAACCUCUGGAAGUGGGCGGUGUUUAUCUCAAGACCAGUUAAUGCGACAAGAAAGAGGCCGCGAAUGGCUCCAUGUUAGUUUUCCUUCAAACAAAAUAAAAGUUUUAUCAAGUGAGGAAGUUCGGCGAAAGGAUGCUACGAAUUCCAAAAGGAUGUACAUAUACAGUCAAAUGUGAGGAGCUGACUUAGUCCACAGAUAAUUUCUAUCCAUCUCUUCACAGUUUCUCUUACCUUUAGCCUUCUACUAACACAGAGAAGCCCAAACAGCAGCCAUUCAGACUCUGCUGCUGCUGCUAUGUCCAAAGAACAAUUAGAAAAGUAUUCAGAACACCAGCCAAAGUUGAGUUACCUUGCCAAAGUAACUUGACAUAAAACGGAACCUCAGACAAUCGCAUGAAGCACAUAGUGCAGAUGUUGUUCUGACAAGGGCUAACGUAGAGAGCCUGAUAGGAAACUAGACACCUUCAUUUGCGAGGGGUAACGUGACACAUUCUGCCCUAUUUAACACUGACUUAUAAAAACAUAGUACAUAUCUGUGAAAUUCAGCAGAAGGGUUUGUGCCACUGUCUCUCUGGUAUUCCACCUAGUUUAGUUGGGGAGGAUUUGAAAGCGGCAUUAGUGUGAAUGGCCAAGUACAGGUCUAUUUUACGUCAGCUGGUCCUUAAUAAAAACGUUUGGCUUCCUCCCAUCCGAAUGGCCAUCGUAUAUUAACACAUCUCAGUGUUUCAUAGACAAUGUGUAGCAUUUACUUACUGAAUGUAUUUAUAGCACAGCAGCACUCACCCAACUAGCAAGUACACCAAAACAGCCAUGGACAAACACAAGCAAAACCCCAGCUGACAGAGAUGAACUACUUUUUUGAUUUUAGUGCUCAGUGUAAGGCAGCGACGCCCUGUCGUGUAUUUUGUUGUUCUUGUUUUGUUUAUUAGUUUCUUGUUCUUAUUCUCGCAUUUGUACGUUCAAUAAUGGUUGUAAAAAAAAAAAAUUAACUCUGCUUAGCUCUGCUUGAUUUUAGAAUCUCCGUUUAAUUGUCGUGCACUGAACGAGUGAUCUAACGUUUAAUGGCGAGGCUUUAGACACCGCAAACAUUUGCAACGUUAUCUAUCUUCACAGCCCUGUGCACCCCGCCCUGGCCCCUAUUACCACAUAGUAACAACUCGCUCUUCUAUUUUUUUUGCUUUAAUUUGUAUACUUUUAUUUAAUUGCAGUGUUUUUGCUCAUACUGUUUCAAUAAAAAAAAAUCAAAUACUAAACUUUGUAUCUUCACUGUUUUUAUCAUUCAACAUAUUUUUCUGGAUAAUAUCAAUGGAAUGAUUAAAAAUAGAUAUAUUUAUGUUGUUGUUGUUUGUUGUAUGUUAUUUAAUCUGGGUAUCUGUUUCAUCUGUACAAGCAAACCGGUUCCAAUAGUCUAUUGGUCUCAUACACAGCUAGCCAUAAAGCAGAGAUGCAUAUUUUCAAUCUGUUUAGAGAAACACAAACACAGCAUUACCCAGCAUACACUUGGGCUGCGAGAAGUUGC